rnacentral:rRNA from 1 species
UACGUAGGUGGCGAGCGUUGUCCGGAUUUACUGGGCGUAAAGAGCGCGCAGGCGGUCGUUCAAGUCGCGUGUGAAAGCCCCCGGCUCAACUGGGGAGGGUCACGCGAUACUGAUCGACUCGAAGGCAGGAGAGGGUAGUGGAAUUCCCGGUGUAGUGGUGAAAUGCGUAGAUAUCGGGAGGAACACCAGUGGCGAAGGCGACUACCUGGCCUGUUCUUGACGCUGAGGCGCGAAAGCUAGGGGAGCAAACGGGG